GUUGCGACACACUGUAAAUAACAACAAUAACCUAAUUCAAUUUAGAAAUAAAUAGAAGAUUCUUUUGUACCAGCAGGAUGUUUAAUUUAUUAGCUAGAAACUGGAAAGAAACCCUGCGACGAAACCGGCGGAACCGUCGACCAAACUUAAUUUUGACCGUGACUACAUUGUCAAGUUCAGGAGUCGCACGAAUGAAAUACUGUUUGUCGAAGGGGACGAACAGUGGCGUGAAUCGGUUAUCUUAGGAUUUCACCGGGUCAAGUAUUAUUACAUGACUUUCCUGCACAACUAUCAAUUUACAUCGUACGAUUUCUGUUGUGGUGGCUAAAAAUACGCAUGAUGGAAAUGUAACGUGGAUGAUAAGGCCGUGGAUUUCGGGUGGGCACAUGAAUUUUUUACCUGGGAGUUAUUGAUGAAGGUAUCGAGUUACGUUAAAUGCAUUGAUUGUAUAAUGGUUACAUCGGUAACGAGUAUGUAUUGGAACAAUCCGGUUGGGCUAUCUCUGGCAAUACGUUCAACAGGUGGAUACUAUUCGUAGACAAAGCAAGAAUUAGGAAAAUGUUUUACAACUUACAUGAAAAAUUUUAAUCAUAAUAUAAAUAUGUACUUAAUUACUAAAGAAAUAUUAAGAAAAGUCAAUCGUAAAAUGAGGAGCAAACUUGAAAAAUAUGGAUCAUCCAACAGUCAUGGCUAUGAAUCUAUAUUUUCAUUUUUGACACUUGUUUUAUAUAACAAUUUAUUUUUAAAACAUCACUAGAUUAUCCAUUUAGUACAGUGGUCCAAUUAAGUAGAGCUUAUAUGUAUAGUAGUGACCACAAUUAUAGCAACAAAAUUGUAUUAAAGAUUUGAACUGUGCUAUUUGAAUUAGAUUCCAGUGUAUAUAAUGUUUAUUGUUCUUUUUGAUAUUGUUAUGUCCACUAUACAGCUACUCAAUUUAA